rnacentral:sRNA from 1 species
AAAAAUUAAUAGAUAGCAUAUAAUAUUAGUUUUGUCUCAAGCGUCACUCGAACCAACGACCUCUAAAUUUCGCUUACGAGAUUACGGAUUUCUGUCCAGAAUUUCUGGUAUUAAAAAAAAG